GCAGCCGGGCAAUAAAACCACCACAGGACAGAGUCCGGGAGGAGCACCAGCCUGCUGCCUCGACAUGGUAAGCAGGCAAGAAGUGGAAGAAGCACAGCUGAGCCACUUUUCCUCUUGCAGGGUUCCAGUUUCGUUAAUGGCAGGCAGAAAUUCAGUUGGUGCUGCUUUUCCUGUCUUGGGUGAAUUUAAUUGGGAGCUUCACUUAUUAGAAUUCUUACUGUCAUUCUGAUGUUAACAGAACAGGAGCAAGGCAAGAAAAAUGUAAAUGUGACAAUCCUUUUCCUUUUUCUUUUUCUAAUUAUAUAGAAGUAGCAUUACUGGAAAAUUGA